AAAGUUGAAGAGCAGGUGUGGACUCUGCUAUGAGUCAGUGUGAGGACAGAGAGGAGGGAGCCCCUCCCUCUAAAACCACUCUGUGGGGGGACCAUGACAGCCAGACCAAAGCUCAGAGGAUGCAGCAGCAGAAACCUGGACCUGGACCCAGCUGUGUGUCCAUGAAGAGUGACCGGUCCAUGGGUCGUCCUAUUGACUUUAAAGAUGGAC